GUGGUCUUUUUUUUUAUCAGUGAACAGCCAGCACUGUAGAUGUGAUAGAGAAGGCUCCCACAAAACAAGGCUGUUUCCACUGUCUCGAUAAGUUACGAGUAUAUUAUGUAGCACGAAUCUUUCUUCGAAAGGAGUCGAUAGGGCCUUCAAUUUAUGUCACUAGGUGCACUUUCAGCUCGUUUCUGUCCAUAGGCGUAUUUACUAGGAGGAGGAGGGGGGAGGGGGAGGGGCACUCGCCCUGUGUGACAUGUGAAGUGCGCGAGGCGAUGCGAGCAUGGUACGUCGGAUGGCCGGGAGCAAUAGACGAUGACAAAGACGAAGGGCUGCGUGAGUUUGGCACCAGCGCGCCAAGCGUCACAACGAAAAAACAGACUUGCACCAAUUGGUGAAGUACACGGGGUGCAAACGCAGAAGGCUAAGAAGAAAGGUGAGAGGAGAGAAGGCAGCGAGAGCGGAGAAGACACGUCGGCGGUUGGAACAGAUGAAGGCGGCUAGGAUGAGAGGUGUGAUCUUGAACGAGUGCUUGGACCCGGGCUCACGAAGGCUCUACCUGGCCAUAUCUGCACUUGCCGACGACCUGGCGUGUUCGCGCAGCAGGCCGUGGUUUGUACGACAAUGAGCGUCCUCCGGAAGCUGGACGACGAGGCGCGAAAGAGUGGGGUGCAAGGCGACUGAGCCUGGAUCGCCUAUAGAAGCUCGAGACAUCACGAUCUGACCACUUCCCAAGCUUUUAUUAACACCCACCAAAACAAUGCCCCCCCCCCCCCCCCCAACCCC